rnacentral:rRNA from 1 species
CAGUCGCCACGGUAAUACAGAGGGUGCAAGCGUUAAUCGGAUUUACUGGGCGUAAAGGGCGCGUAGGUGGUUAUGUAAGUGAGAUGUGAAAUCCCCGGGCUCGACCUGGGAACUGCAUCUUAUACUGCGUAGCUGGAGUGCAGUAGAGGGUAGUGGAAUUUCCGGUGUAGCGGUGAAAUGCGUAGAUAUCGGAAGGAACACCAGUGGCGAAGGCGGCUACCUGGACUGACACUGACACUGAUGCACGAAAGCUAGGGGAGCAAACAGGAUUAGAUACCCCAGUAGUCCCUGUCUCUUAUAA